CACGUAGGUGGCAUGGUAAGUCAAAGGUGAAAGCCCUCGGCUCAACCGAGGAAUUGCCUUUGAAACUGCUUUGCUUGAGUCCGGGGAGGGGGGAGCGGAAUUCCUAGUGUAGCGGUGAAAUGCGUAGAUACUAGGAGGAACACCGGUGGCGAAGGCGGCUCCCUGGACCGGUACUGACACUGAGGUGCGAAAGCGUGGGUAGCAAACA
rnacentral:rRNA from 1 species